CUAAAGUUUGAUCCUGGCUCACAAUCAACGCUGGCGGCGUGCCUAACUUUGCACGUCGAACGCGGUUACUCCCGCAAGGGAGUAACUGACUGGCGAACGGGUGAGUAACACGUGGGUGACCUACCUUCGAGUGGGGGAUAACGUCUCGAAAUGGACGCUAAUACCGCAUAACAUCCUGCCUUUGAAGAGGCGGAUAUCUAAGCCGGGGAUUUUAUGAGCUGUCACUUGAUGACGGGCUCUCGUCUUAUUAUCUAGCUGGCGGUGUAACGGCCCAGCAACGCAAGAGCAGAAGCCAUGAUGACAUGCCGUCAUCGACAUCUAGGAGGGGAAUAUAUAGAGGGUAAUCCUACUAAGCGCCCCGAGAGGCAUAAUGCCCAGAAACAAAAGGGAGAAAACACCAAAACGCGAAUAGAACAUCGCUCCCACUUCG
rnacentral:rRNA from 1 species